UAAAAAAGACAGUAAGUGAACAACAAAGGACGAACACUGCAUCUUCUAAAUGUUGUAAAAGUAGUACUAAUUGUACAAUAUAUUUGGCCCUUCUUCUUUGAUGAAUAAGCACGUGUCUCACUUUUGCUUCACUUUGUGUGCAAUUUUUGCACUAUCAUCUCACAAUUCUCUAUAGAUUUAUGUCUCCUCCUCUGCUAAGCUUGGUCUAUUUUCUGAACUCUUCUUUGUAGGUCUCAACUCUUCAAUGGUGAAUCCAUGUGUUACUGAGUGUCUUCUCUUUAUGUAGACACUUAAAAUCUCUGUUGUUUGUUUUGAAUGUCAUACCGAGGUAUUUCUUCAUGAUUUCAGGGGUUGUUUUGGGUGCUUGUACUUCCUGUACUAUGCUUCAACACAAAAACACAAGAGCAGAAAAUCCAGCUUUGUUAAUGCAAGUUCCUCCAUGGUUAGUUUGUCCGGAGUAGUGACUUUUGAUGAGCAACAAAUGGCAUUGGGUUGUGAGUACGUACACAUUUUCUCCUCUUCUAAGGCUGAAUACAAAUCCAAUUAAUAUGUGUGUCAGUUUAAAUAUUAGACAAUCUUGCAUCAAUGAGCAGCAGCAAAAAAAAUUGAUACUUAAUACUGUUUAAUAGUUAUAGAUAAAUGUAGGGAAAAAUGACAAUAUAUCCCGAACUAUCAUAAAUGAUACGUCAAUACCCUUCGUUAUAUUUUUGGAUUGUAUAUAUCCUUACUGUCAAUAUUUCGGAACAUAUAUACCCUUAGGAUAGACGGAGAGACGCGUGUAACUGGUAUUCAUAGGAAUAGAAUUAACUUAUGAAACCUGUAAUUUUACAAAUUGUUGUAGACCACUGUUAGAAGAAUAUGUCAGAAUUCUUCUAUUUAUUUAAGUUUGGUA